rnacentral:rRNA from 1 species
CCUACGGGAGGCAGCCGUGAGGAAUAUUGGUCAAUGGACGCAAGUCUGAACCAGCCAUGCCGCGUGCAGGAAGACAGCUCUAUGAGUUGUAAACUGCUUUUGUACGAGGGUAAACGCAGAUACGCGUAUCUUUCUGCAAGUAUCGUACGAAUAAGGAUCGGCUAACUCCGUGCCAGCAGCCGCGGUAAUACGGAGGAUUCAAGCGUUAUCCGGAGUUAUUGGGUUUAAGGGGUGCGUAGGCGGUCGGAUAAGUUAGAGGUGAAUUCCCGAGGCUCAACUUCGGAAUUGCCUCUGAUUCUGUUCGGCGAGAGAGUAGUUGCGGUAGGCGGAAUGUAUGGUGUAGCGGUGAAAUGCUUAGAGAUCAUACAGAACACCGAUUGCGAAGGCAGCUUACCAAGCUACGUCUGACGUUGAGGCACGAAAGCGUGGGGAGCAAACAGGAUUAGAUACCCUAGUAGUC